GAUGAAGAACGUAGCGAAAUGCGAUAAGUAAUGCGAAUUGCAGAAUCCGUGAGUCAUCGAAUCUUUGAACGCACAUUGCGCCCGUCAGUAUUCUGGCGGGCAUGCCUGUUCGAGCGUCAUUACGCCCCUAAGUCCCCUGUGGACUUGGUGUUGGGGAUCGGCGAGGCUGGUUUUCCAGCACAGCCGUCCCUUAAAUUAAUUGGCGGUCUCGCCGUGGCCCUCCUCUGCGCAGUAGUAAAACACUCGCAACAGGAGCCCGGCGCGGUCCACUGCCGUAAAACCCCCCAACUUUUUAUAGUUGACCUCGAAUCAGGUAGGACUACCCGCUGAACUUAAGCAUAUCAAUAAGCGGAGGA
rnacentral:misc_RNA from 1 species